rnacentral:rRNA from 1 species
UACAGAGGUCCCAAGCGUUGUUCGGAUUUACUGGGCGUAAAGGGUGCGUAGGCGGUUGGGUAAGUCUGACGUGAAAUCUCCGAGCCUAACUCGGAAACUGCGUUGGAUACUAUCCGGCUAGAGGAAUGGAGGGGAGACUGGAAUACUUGGUGUAGCAGUGAAAUGCGUAGAUAUCAAGUGGAACACCAGUGGCGAAGGCGAGUCUCUGGACAAUUCCUGACGCUGAGGCACGAAAGCCAGGGGAGCAAACGGG